rnacentral:rRNA from 1 species
UACAGGGGGUGCAAACGUUGCUCGGAAUCAUUGGGCGUAAAGCGCACGUAGGCGGUCUGUUAUGUCGGAUGUGAAAGCCCUCGGCUCAACUGAGGAAGUGCAUCCGAAACUGGCAGGCUAGAGUACUAAAGAGGGUCGCGGAAUUCCCGGUGUAGAGGUGAAAUUCGUAGAUAUCGGGAGGAACACCGGUGGCGAAGGCGGCGACCUGGGUAGAUACUGACGCUGAGGUGCGAAAGCGUGGGGAGCAACAGG